rnacentral:rRNA from 1 species
UACGGAAGGCAGCAGUGGGGAAUAUUGCACAAUGGGCGCAAGCCUGAUGCAGCCAUGCCGCGUGUAUGAAAAAGGCCUUCGGGUUGUAAAGUACUUUCAGUCGUGAGGAAGGUGUUAAGGUUAAUAACCUUAGCAAUUGACGUUAGCGACAGAAGAAGCACCGGCUAACUCCGUGCCAGCAGCCGCGGUAAUACGGAGGGUGCGAGCGUUAAUCGGAAUUACUGGGCGUAAAGGGCACGCAGGCGGUUAAUUAAGUUGGAUGUGAAAUCCCCGGGCUUAACCUGGGAAUGGCAUUCAAGACUGGUUAGCUAGAGUCUUGUAGAGGGGGUAGAAUUCCAUGUGUAGCGGUGAAAUGCGUAGAGAUGUGGAGGAAUACCGGUGGCGAAGGCGGCCCCUGGACAAGACUGACGCUCAUGUGCGAAAGCGUGGGGAGCAAACGAGGGAUUAGAUACC